UAUUUUGGAUUCAAGAAAGAAGUUAAGAUGCCAUAUUUAUUGCUGUAAUACCUGGAUUCAAGAAAAGAUGUGAUCCAUGGAAGAUAUCCAGGUUGAAUCUUCAAAUCCAUGCAAACUACAAAUCCACAGAAGAUGUCUUUUAUUUUUCAUGUGACCUAUUGCUCUGAUGCAAAAAAAAUGGAGAAGCCAUUACAAAAAUGGAGAGAGCAUGAAAAACCAAAUACUGCCCCCCACCCCAAAGAUGGAAAUGAUGUCAUCUG